rnacentral:rRNA from 1 species
AGAGUUUGAUCCUGGCUCAGGACGAACGCUGGCGGUGUGCUUCACACAUGCAAGUCGAGCGAAUGAAGUAGGUAGCUUGCUACUUAUGGAUUUAGCGGCGGACGGGUGAGUAAUAUAUAGGAAUCUGCCUUAGAGCGGGGAACAACAGACCGAAAGGUUUGCUAAUGCCCCAUAGGUAUGCAGUCUUCGGAUUGUAUAUUAAAGGAGUAAUCCACUCUAAGAUGAGCCCGCGUCCGAUUAGCUAGUUAGUAGGGUAAUGGCCUACCAAGGCGACGAUCGGUAGGUGGUCUGAGAGGAUGAUCACCCACAAUGGGACUGAGACACGGCCCAUACUCCUACGGGAGGCAGCAGUGGGGAAUUUUGUGCAAUGGGCGAAAGCCUGACACAGCGACACCGCGUGAGCGAAGAAGCCCUUUGGGGUGUAAAGCUCUGUCAGCUGGAACGAAACAAAUGACGGUACCAGCAGAGGAAGCAUCGGCUAACUACGUGCCAGCAGCCGCGGUAAGACGUAGGAUGCGAGCGUUGUCCGGAUUUAUUGGGCGUAAAGAGUUCGUAGGUGGUUUGUUAAGUUCGAUGUUAAAGAUCGAGGCUCAACCUCGGGAGUGCAUUGAAUACUGGCAGACUUGAGUGCGGUAGAGGCUAGUGGAAUUCCCAGUGUAGCGGUGAAAUGCGUAGA